GUUUUUGUCUACAUGGCUGCAGAGACUGGCCAGGGUUUUGUCUGCCAUCCACCUUCAGAACGGUGGAAACAGUUGAAAAGAACAUUGAGGUGAAGCUUGGGCUGGUUUGUAACCAGGUAUCAUCUUAGAAACUCUCCUUGCCCGUUUCAUGGCGAAUGGUCACUUUUUCUAGGCCUCCUUUCUUGUGUGGGCAGGGGUCAGCAUGCACGGGGCUCCUUUUUAGAAUAUUGGUGCAAAUAUCACAUCAGUUUGCAUAAGUUAAGUCUCCAACUGCUUUUUCCUCCUGUGAAUCAAACUUGCUUUUUUCCUGGCUAGAAUAUUGCAAAAGCAAAACAAACAAACAAACAGAGAAAGAUGUGGGUUGGUUCGCCUGCUUGUGCACAUUUCUUUCAGUGGGUCAAUGAAUCCCCCAUUGUUUGCUCCUACAAGCCCCUUGUUGUGUCCAUGGGUAGCCCUGUACCAGGUAAUGAAAGGAUUUCUCUUAUGUUUCUGUUCUUUGUUUUCAAGGAACAACGGAGAUAUGGUGUUUUCAGACAAGGGAAUAAAUUCCCGGAAGCAAGUGGCCAGGAAUGAAAAUCCUGGAGAACAAAGUGGAAUAAACCCGUAUUCAACGGUUCCUGUUGAUUUUCUUUCCUCCCUAAACACUGACCUCCCGCAGUCUUCACCAGCAGUAGAGCUGAAUCCCUUGAAAACACUCAUAGCACGAUGACAAGGUUUGGCAGCUGCAGUCUUGAAGACCAGGAAGUGAGGUGGGUAAAUACCUAGGAUGUACAGCCUCAUGCUUGUCAGUGCCCCUAGAGCGGGAGCCUCAGCAGCUGGGUUCCAGUUCCUGACUAGUGCUUGCUGGGUGCUCCUGGGGGCUCGCCUUCCCUGCUCGGGUGCUCCUUGUCUUUUGAGGGAGGGAAACGGUAUCCACUACGGGCAGCGAGGGUCUCUCUGAGUGCCACUCUGCCACUCUCUGCUGGGGUCCCUCCAUGCUGUCUGUCCCUGUGGCUCCCCCAACCCCAUGCCCAUCUGCUCCCUUCUCUGCCAUCGUCCCUCCUUUCACGGCAAUUGUCCCGCUGUCCCUUCACAGCCUAUCUCUCCCCUGAGCCUCUGGUGGUGUGAUUCAUCUCCCUCUGGUGGACUCAGGGCUGGCCAUGCGCUGCCUGCAGCUUGCACUAAUCAUAAUAGCAGCCACAGCUAAUACGUGAAUUGCUUUUCAGAGUUCAAGGAGGCUUCCAGCCUCACGAGCCCUUGGAUCCUUGCAAUAGUCCCUUGAAAUGGUAAGACUUUGGAUGCUUUAUACAUUUAUGUAAAAUGUAUUUUACAUUUAUAAAUGGAUGCAUUUAUUUUGGUUUUAAUAACAUAUUACUUUCUCAGGAACACAUAUUUAAACAGACAUUUUUGUUGAUCAAUAACAAUAAAGCUUUUUAAGAGUUUAUAUAAUCUACACUAAAUCUUUCACAAAAGCUAGGAGUAGAAUAUGAUAUAAUAGGCACUAAUUACUCUAAUUUUCUCUUACAUAGGGCAAGAAUAAAUACCUCGCAUUUUAUAGUGCUUUAUACUUCACCAGAAAAACCAAACCUACAUUUAAUUCCCAAUAUAAUAGGCUCAUCCAGCAAUCUUUGAGGUGAGGGAAACAAGACUUAUUAUCUCAAGUUUUAUGGUGGAGGAAAUAAAGGUUUAUGAUAAGUGAAAUAAUUUGUUCAGAGUUGCAAAUACCUCGUAGAUAGCAGAGUAGAGUUUGA
rnacentral:lncRNA from 1 species